AGGAAACUUCUGGUGACUAAGACUUUCAGGUAGAAGAACUAAGGUAAGGUGCCGACAUGAAGCUGGGGUUGCUGCUGGUGCUGGCUGUGGCAGUUGUGCUGCCCAGCCUUUCUGAGAGCCGCAUCGUCUCCAAAUGCGAGCUGAAAAAGAAGCUUGAGAAAGCCAUCAAGCUGCCGAGCAACCUUGAGAAAAUGAAGGAUAAGAUCAUUUCAAGAGUUGUCUGUGAAGUGAGCAGGACAUCCAACCUGAACAGCAAUUUGAUCAAGGUGAUUGGCACACGCAUGACCACCUCUGCUCCGAACACCACCACCACCACCACCGCUACUACUACUACUACUACUACUACUACCUCUCCUACUACUACUCCUACUAUUCCUACCGACACCACCACCACCUCUGCUCCUACUCCUACCACCACCACCACCACCACUACUCCUACUGACACCACCACAGACAGCAGGCGAAAGCGGGAGGCUGACUUAGACAGCAUGGAUGUUGAAAAUAUCGAUAUGAAGACAGAGGAACUGCUGAACAGGGAGGAAAACAGGUUUGAUGAGGAGGAGGUAGAGGAAGACGACAACCACCUCAGUGAUGAGAGCAAAGAAGUCGAUGAUGGGAAACGUAAAAAACGACCCCCCCACAAACAGCGUGUCCUUUGGUCCCUUGGUUAUUACGGACUCUUCCAGCUGUCUGACAGCCACUUCUGUGACUCAGGCUAUCGCUGGUCCAGAAAUGUCUGCCGAUCUUCCUGCACAGCGUUUACUGAUGAUGACAUCACAGAUGACAUCGAGUGCUUUGUAAAGUCCAACCUGUGGUGGUAUUACGUGCGGAGUGCCACUUACAACUGCCAGUUUGAAAAUAUCCUCAACAAUUGUUGAGGAGCUGCUGUGAAGGCACAUUUUCUACCUGCAGUAACACACGCACCACCUUUGUGUGAUCAACCUCCAACAUGAGCUAGCAAAUAUCAUCACACUGCAGGCUAGACCUCCACGCCCUCCACAAAUCAAAGAUGAAUGGCACUGUAUUUGUCAUUUGGGUAUCUUUAUUCUUAAUCAUUUACACAUUUUCAUAUUAAAAAAACUAGAUCUAUGCAUUGUAUGCCGAGUAUGAUCUGGCAUGUAUAUGCCUUUACCUUUAAUCAGUCUUCUCUCUCAGAUUUCUUAGUGGUGC
rnacentral:lncRNA from 1 species